UUUUCAAACUAAUCCCUACAAAAUUCUAAUUCUCAAAGUAACCCUUCUAAAAUUUUAUUUUGGAUAAACUUCAAAUACCAUCCCUUUGGUUUCGCACUUUCUCACUUUAGUAUUCUGUGGUUUAAAGCGUAUCAAUUUAGUACCAUGUGGUUUUAUUUUUUUCUUUUCGUCAGCACCUCCGUUAACUUUUUGUUAAAUUAUUAUAUAAAAAAACUUCAGAUAUCCAUUUAUAGUUUAUCGAAUAUUCACUUUAAUAUCUUUUAGUUUUAACUUUGUUACUGAUUUAACGAAAAAAAUAGUGAAGGGGAUAACAAAAAGAGAGAAAUAAAACUAUAUAUAGUUUAUGAAAGUAAUACACUCUAAACCACAUGGUAGUAAAGUAAAAAUGUGCACAACCACAUGAGUGGUAUUUAAAAUUUUUUCUUUUAUUUUUUCCAAAAAUACUUAUUUUGAAAAGCCAUGAAUCGUUAACGGUCUUUGUAAAGCAGUGAAUCAUUCCCCAGAGUUGGACAAAAGAUGAUAAAUUUAUGAUAAACAACUAUUUUUAAUCUAUAGUAGAAACUAAAAUGAAUAAUCUUUAAUCUAAAAUUAUAGAAAAAACUUUAAAAACCACCCAUGUGGUUACACACGUUUUCAUUUUUGUACCCUGUAGUUUAAAGUAUAUCAAUUUAGUAUCCAUGAUUUUAUUUUUCUCUUUUUAUUAUUCCCUCCACUAAUUUUUUUUUCAUUAAAUCAGUGACAAAAUUAAAACUAAUAGGUUCUAAAGUGAAUAUUCGAUAAACCUAGGUGGGGUAUCUAAAUUUUUUUGUAUAUAAUUUAACAAAAUAUUGACGAAAAAAAAAAAAAUUAUAGAGUAAUAAAUUAAUACACUUUAAAACACAUGAUACUAAAGUGAAAAAACGUGAAACCACAUGAUGAAAUCAGGGCAAAUAGCCAGGGACAUCAGCAUGGCAUCAUAGAUAUAUAAUUAUCACUUUUAAUUAUGUUCUAUAGAAAAAUAUACAUAUAUUAUUAUUAUAAUAUUAUACUUAAUUAUAAAAUACUUAUUUCU
rnacentral:lncRNA from 1 species